UUCAUGUUUGGGGAAGUGAGGUGAGAAUCCUCCACAGUGCCGCUACGGUAAUCCAAGGCUCUAAAGCCAAGGAAAGUCCGAAUACCAAUCAUGAA
rnacentral:ncRNA from 2 species